rnacentral:rRNA from 1 species
UGGUGCUUCGGGAACGUGAGACAGGUGCUGCAUGGCUGUCGUCAGCUCGUGUUGUGAAAUGUUGGGUUAAGUCCCGCAACGAGCGCAACCCUUAUCCUUUGUUGCCAGCGGUCCGGCCGGGAACUCAAAGGAGACUGCCAGUGAUAAACUGGAGGAAGGUGGGGAUGACGUCAAGUCAUCAUGGCCCUUACGACCAGGGCUACACACGUGCUACAAUGGCGCAUACAAAGAGAAGCGACCUCGCGAGAGCAAGCGGACCUCAUAAAGUGCGUCGUAGUCCGGAUUGGAGUCUGCAACUCGACUCCAUGAAGUCGGAAUCGCUAGUAAUCGUGGAUCAGAAUGCCACGGUGAAUACGUUCCCGGGUCUUGUACACACCG